rnacentral:rRNA from 1 species
CCUACGGGGGGCAGCAGUGGGGAAUCUUCCGCAAUGGACGAAAGUCUGACGGAGCAACGCCGCGUGAGUGAUGACGGCCUUCGGGUUGUAAAGCUCUGUUAAUCGGGACGAAAGGCCUUCUUGCGAAUAGUUAGAAGGAUUGACGGUACCGGAAUAGAAAGCCACGGCUAACUACGUGCCAGCAGCCGCGGUAAUACGUAGGUGGCAAGCGUUGUCCGGAAUUAUUGGGCGUAAAGCGCGCGCAGGCGGAUCAGUCAGUCUGUCUUAAAAGUUCGGGGCUUAACCCCGUGAUGGGAUGGAAACUGCUGAUCUAGAGUAUCGGAGAGGAAAGUGGAAUUCCUAGUGUAGCGGUGAAAUGCGUAGAUAUUAGGAAGAACACCAGUGGCGAAGGCGACUUUCUGGACGAAAACUGACGCUGAGGCGCGAAAGCCAGGGGAGCGAACGGGAUUAGAUACCCGGGUAGUC